rnacentral:rRNA from 1 species
GAUGAACGCUGGCGGCGUGCCUAAUACAUGCAAGUCGAGCGAACGGACGAGAAGCUUGCUUCUCUGAUGUUAGCGGCGGACGGGUGAGUAACACGUGGAUAACCUCCCUAUAAGACUGGGAUAACUUCGGGAAACCGUAGCUAAUACCGGAUAAUAUUUUGAACCGCAUGGUUCAAUAGUGAAAGACGGUCUUGCUGUCACUUAUAGAUGGAUCCGCGCUGCAUUAGCUAGUUGGUAAGGUAACGGCUUACCAAGGCAACGAUGCGUAGCCGACCUGAGAGGGUGAUCGGCCACACUGGAACUGAGACACGGUCCAGACUCCUACGGGAGGCAGCAGUAGGGAAUCUUCCGCAAUGGGCGAAAGCCUGACGGAGCAACGCCGCGUGAGUGAUGAAGGUCUUCGGAUCGUAAAACUCUGUUAUUAGGGAAGAACAUAUGUGUAAGUAACUGUGCACAUCUUGACGGUACCUAAUCAGAAAGCCACGGCUAACUACGUG